GUCCGCGUAGCUCAGUUGGCAGAGCAUUGGGCUAGUAUUCCAAAGGUCGUAGGUUCGAUUCCCACCGUGGCCU